UUUCACCUAAGCACUAUAAAAGCACCAGAUCCCAUCUGAUCUUGGAAGCUAAGCAGGGUCACAGCCCUGGUAAAUACUUUGAAGGGAAGGCUGCUAAUGAAUACCAGGUGCUGUGGGAA
rnacentral:rRNA from 11 species